rnacentral:lncRNA from 1 species
UUUUAAAUACCAACCUAGGAAGAGGGGAAAAAAAACAAAUAUUUGAAUUUUACGUUUUAAGUUCUUUGUUUCUCAAAAAUCUCAACUAAACCAGAGGGGAAUAUUCUGGAAUGGGGCUGCAUUGGGCGAGUAUCAGAACUCCAAAAGACGCCCACCACAAAGCCCAAACCCAUUCCGGAAAGUCUCUGUACUCGCCGGCCUGUGGGAUAAUCCGUGUUUGGUUCUGAGGUCGGCGGUGGGGCACAGAUUGCUUCACCGCCACCUACGGAGUUUGAAGGUAUUCACUAAAGCUACUUAAACGACGUCGUUCAACGUCCGCUUACCCCAAAAACUAGUGAACGGCGUCCUUUUCAUGAUUCUUGGGAUAAUUCGUGUUUGGUUCUGAGGUCGGCGGUGGGGCACAGGUUGCUUCACCGCCACCUACGGAGUUUGAAGGUAUUCACCAAAGCUACUUAAACGACGUCGUUCAACGUCCGCUUACCCCAAAAACUAGUGAACGGCGUCCUUUUCAUGAUCCUUGGAAGUUGGAACUGAUUAUUACCACUUUGCCUAAAACGCUCCGCUUCUUUGGCAAAC